GACGAACGCUGGCGGCGCGCCUUAUGCAUGCAAGUCGAACGGACCUUCGGGUCAGUGGCGGACGGCUGAGUAACGCGUAGGUAACCUGCCCGGUGGUGGGGGAUAACUCGCUGAAAGGUGAGCUAAUACCGCAUAAGUUUUCCGGCUGAAAUGCUGGUCUGGAAAGCAGCAAUGCGCCACCGGAGGGGCCUGCGUCCUAUCAGGUAGUUGGUGGGGUAAUGGCCUACCAAGCCAAUGACGGGUAGCUGGUCUGAGAGGACGACCAGCCAGAAGGGGACUGAGACACGGCCCUACUCCUACGGGUGGCUG
rnacentral:rRNA from 1 species